AUACGUAGGGGGCAAGCGUUAUCCGGAUUUACUGGGUGUAAAGGGAGCGUAGACGGAAUGGCAAGUCUGAUGUGAAAGGCCGGGGCUCAACCCCGGGACUGCAUUGGAAACUGUCAGGCUAGAGUGCAGGAGGGGUAAGCGGAAUUCCUAGUGUAGCGGUGAAAUGCGUAGAUAUUAGGAGGAACACCGGUGGCGAAGGCGGCUUACUGGACCGUAACUGACGUUGAGGCUCGAAAGCGUGGGGAGCAAACAGGGUUAGAUACCCUGGUAGCCCACGCCGUAAACGAUGAAUACUAGGUGUUGGGUUCCAAUAGGGAUUCGGUGCCGCAGCUAACGCAAUAAGUAUUCCACCUGGGGAGUACGUUCGCAAGAAUGAAACUCAAAUGAAUUGACGGGG
rnacentral:rRNA from 1 species